ensembl:lncRNA
ACCGAAUCUCACAGAGCAAGAUCCAAACACUGUUUGCAUAAUGUGCUGCUUCCAAAAGACAAAACUUAAACGUUGACAUUCUGCAUGCCUUAGAAUCAACGUGAAAGUUUGUGAACUCAUCCGUGUGCGUUAAAGCCCCGGUAAACGCGUCUGCACGCGGAUUAGGCUUCUAGUCGGGAUUUCCAGUAACUGUUUCGUGAUGGUUAUAAGACAAAUAGUUUGUAAUCUUAAGAUUUCUCGCCGUUAUUUCACCUAGUUUAAAUAGCUAUUGGAACAAAGAGAACAUACUCUCUCAGAUGUGUUGCUGUAUGGCACAUAACGGAGUCUUUUUUUACAGAAACGAUUGCAAUCAGUCACCGUCCAUAUACUUGAUUGAUCGAUGAUGCAUUAAACUCGAGUUAACUUGUACGUUACUUGCAAAAUAUACGUCUAGAAAGUUAUUAUUACAUCUGAAUCGAAUUUAUAUUAGUUUAUUCGAAAGCAGAGAAAGACUUUGAGCACAUGCACAACCUCGAAAAGCAGCUCCUUACCGUCAGAGCAGACAUUUAGUACGGACCGAAGUCGAUAGCGUCCAUAUUCAGUUUCAGAUCAGGAUUAAAGCUUCUGUUUUGCAUAACUCCACAACACAUCGGGUGAUUUUUUUUCCCCAUAAGUGUCUGGAUCCUGUCUGAGCAUCUCUCACUUUAUCAGAUGCAACCACUCUGUGUUCGGGAUUGCACUAAAUCCUCCCCUGACAGCAGGAGGACUUGGAGUCUCUUGCAUGGGCUCUACGGUCAUUGGCUCCCCGCGCCGUCCUUCAGUAAUCCGGGUUAGGUUGACACCUCCGCCGGCGUCUGUGGUUUCACGGCAACGCGUUUUGUUACCGGAUUUUGUGUGGCUGCAUAAUCCUCACCUAAACCAGCAAGGGACACGUCUGUGCAUUAAUGACAUGCUGAAAGUCUUUGGUGGGAAGAACAAAAAGUCCUUAAAUGCCAGCGGAGUCCAGAUUUGGUCGUUCAGGCCGGUCCCUGUGAGGUGAGAGAGACUGGAGACUACAGAUCAGUGCGGUCAGAAACGGCUCCUUCUGGAAUGGAAUGUUUUAUGCGACUAAUGUCGAAGGAGCCUUUCUCAACUGUGUGCUUCAGUGAGCAUCCAAUUUAAGCUUAAACAAAUAUUUGACAACAACAACAAAAUCUAUUGACAUCUUAAUUCAUAACACACAGCUUGUGUCAAUCUGACAAGCUAGCAAACCGAAGGCUUGGGUACAACAUAACUGGUGUCAGAUCUUGGCCGAGCACAUGGACAAAGUCUAUGUUUCCAACUAGACGAGGGUCCACAUAUGAAUACUAAACAUCACAGUUACAUAUCGACCACCAGAAAUCAAACAAAUGAUGCUUGACAUAUAACAUAAAGAAAUUAAUAAACAUCCACAAAAAUUAUUGCA